AUAUAAACAAUGUUUGAAGGACUUAGGAAGGCUAACUCGCUUAAAUUCCUUUUCCUUGUUUGGAUGUGGUUUAGAGUAUCGGUUAUCCAUCCGAAGGUCAUUUAAAUAUUGGUUAUAUAUCAUGUAUACAUAUGUAGUCCUAAAAGUUCUCUCAGCAGAUUCAUCACCUUUGGGUAGCAAAGGCAUCUAGAUAACCUCUCAAAGUAAACUAUAAUAGGUAUAGUUUAGAAACCCACUAUAGCAUGCACGCAGGAGAACUUAGUUAUAUUUAUACUCUAAAACAUAUACUUUUAGUAAAAGGAAAGGUUUAUAGAAGUCAAAAUACGAGAUACAUCCUCACGACACGGAUUUCACCGUUGUCGAGCGGUAACCAGAGUCUCCUGGAGGGAGAGCGGACAUUGUGUGUAUAGAUCUAUACGAGACAGACACUCCCACAUCCUGACUGCUAGCUACAGUCUCGGCCGACCAAGCCAAGGGGUGAUAAAUGUCAGAUUCAUUCCAACGCCAUCAGGUCGUCAAGUAUUCGAUUUUCAAUCAGUAUGGUUACGAGUAUCUUUAUGUUUACCUUAUAAUUCAUGGCUUUAAGGUAAUAAGUAUUAUCACGGUAUUUUCCAUAUGUGAAACCAUCAUAACCUAUUUUUCCUACUUAUAUACUAGGUUACGUUAUAAGCCUAUAAACCAACCCACAUAGGAUUAAAGGCUAAUUUAGACUCUAUGAGGCAUGUUGUUCAUUCAAUACCAUCCUGGAUUCUGUAUUUUAUUAAUUUAGACUCUCCGAGGCAUGUUGUUCAUUCAAUACCAUCCUGGAGUCUUUGUUUAUUUCUUUUAGACCCUCCGAGGCGUGUUGUUCAUUCAACACCACCCUGGGGUUUGUAUUUGAUUCUUUUAGACUCUCCGAGGCGUAUUGUUCACGUAAUACUUCCUGGAGUCUAUGUUUUAUUUACUUUUAACCAGCAGUGUUACUGCUGAGAUAAAAUAUUAUUUUCCUUAUUACUUAUGCUUGUGAUUUCCUCACAUAUUGUUUAAAAGUAUAAACUAUAUUUUGAUAAUGGUAGUACCUUAAGGGAAAAUGUUUCUUAAACAUAAAACAGAUAAGUCUUGGUAGAAGACCGCUUUUAAUAGAGAUACUCUUUGGUUUAAACAUAAAACAAUUGGGUCUUGGUAGAAGACUACUUUUAUUUGAAAAUAUAGGAUUUUCUGGAAAGGAUUCUAAGACUCUGUAACCUCAAAUCACCAUCAUUGUGUGAAAUUAUUUUGAAGUAAAACAUGUAUUUAUACCAAUGUCAUUAAAUACUUAUCAACUCACCAGCAUUUAAAAAUGCUGAUACUCGCUUUCAAAAUAACUUGUAUUCUCAGGUCGUCAGUAGACAGGUACACUUCGGGAGCUUUUGUGAAGUCAGCCUAGUAACGAGCUGCACUCUAUGUUAUUCUCUGUAUUUACUUCGAUGUUAUUAUUAAAUGUAACCUAUGUAAAAUUAUUACUAUUAAUGCAAUAUUUGUUGUACUUUGAUUACUAUACUGCAUAUGUUGUGAUACUUGACAUGACGUCCUCCACCCCAUAACCUAUUCCGCCGUUCUUGGUUUUGGGGUGUGACAGAUUGGUAUCAGAGCAUUGUUUAUAUUGAGCUCAGUAUAUAUAAUCGUAAAAGGUAUACAACCUAUAAAUACAUUAGGAUAAAACACUCUGACCAAUAAUUAUACUUUAAAAUAUAACCAUAUUUUCAAAAGUAUAAGAACAUCCAGAAUAUAAAAACCUCAAUAAAGUAUCACAAGAAGAAAAAGAAUAAAAGUCUUUGGAUGUUGACCAUUACCGUCAAACCUGGGUAGUUAUGUAAUCGUAAGCUGGAAUAAAUGUAACCUGAUCAACUACAUUUAUUCGAGAUGCGACUAACGUGUGCUUGAGAGUGAUGGUGAUGUUGGAACAAGUCUGAAACUUACCAAAUAGGAAUGCUAGAGCCAAACAUAAAGUUUAAAAUACUAUAGGAGUAUUUUAUGAUACCAAGAGAUUCACAAUAAACCCAGAAGCAUGUUAAGAAAAUAAGAGUCAAGCAAGUAAUUAAAAUACUAUAGGAGUAUUUUAGGAACCAUAAAUAACCUUGUGUGAAAAAUUAAAUAGAUCCUUAUUGAUAGACCUAUGAUUACAAAGUGUAUACUUCCAAGAUUAUAUAUAGUAAGGAUCUCAUAGGCUAAGAAUGUGUGGUUUCGCUCUACUUCCUUUUCCUUGUUUGGAUGUGGAUAUAGAGUAGUAUCACAUAUUCGAAGGACUAUCAGAUCUAAGUUAUAUAUGAUUUGUAUACACUAUGAAAUUGUAGCAGGACUCGAUAUGGAUCACCUAGUGAAAUGUUUUUAAUAAUCUCUUAGAAUUCUUUAGACAUUUCCAUUCUCGGAUGAAACCCUUUAGAAAACCUUAUCCAGUUCAGUGAUCGACAGAAGAGUCGAUUUAGACCCAGAAGAGGUUCAUUGAGAAAGUUUCCAAUAAGGAAAUAAAUGAACAGGGGCAAGACUGUUGAAACCACCAUGUGCCUAUACCUUUUAGGGACAGAAGUGGAAAUUCGCCUGAACUUUCGAGAUUCUAGUCAUCCAUCAUGAAGUGAUGACACUCAGAUUCAGAAACGGAGUAACAUGGAGUCAAAAUUCAAUAUGUCUAAAAGAGAAGAGAACCUUAGAUAAGUACCAAAAGAAAGCCAAUGCCUAUUCCAGUCAGGGAUAAGAGGUAAACCAAUGCAUGGAACCCGAGAAGUGUCUUUUUCCUCCUUAUCGUCACGCUAAUAAAUUCAUAAAAUAAUACAAUUUAGUGAGUUAGUGAUUUCACUACUCACACUAUGUGUUAGGCAAAUCGUCUUUCCCAUCACGAUAAAUACGAAUAGAUAGGAUCUCAAAACCUUGAUUGAGAGUGUUUAGCCAUAAGUUUUCAUGAGCCUUUUCUCCUAUGAUCUUCGUUCUGAACUUCUCUCAGGUCUUUUCAAAACCGGAGAGUGAAACUCUCCAGUAUAAAGAUAACUUAGUUGGAACAACCCCCGAUUUAUGGCUUUCCAGUAUGCUUACUCCUACCCUGUUACCCAGACUGCAUCAUAGGGAUGUAGGUCGACGCUCAGAUAACCAUAGAUCAAAGCGCGAGAAGAUUUAUGCCUAUCAUAGUAAACAAAGAUAUGUCUAGGGUUAACCAUCGUCUCUCAUCAGCUUGUGUUCCUUUUUGUGUAUGAAAAACCAUGCCUCCAAAGAAACGUAACCAACCCGUUGGUAAGACACCAAUUCUCCAAAUCGAUGAAUCUAUGUUCCAAGCUGCAGUUUCAGCAGCCGUCAUGGCUCACCUGAACGCUAAAAACGCCGAUGUUAGCAAAAGCCCUAUCGGGAAUCCCGAUCAAAGCAAUGGACAGUAGCAACCAGCACCGGUGUGUAAAGCCACCCAAGAACCCCAACCAAAUCCACUGAAAAGAAAAUUUAAGAACGAGGAAGGAAGUUCCUCGACUCAAGGACCUUCCAAAGGGCAACGAGCUGAGGUAGUCAAUACCCCUGUCAACCUUUCCGUCCCGACUCGAAGAAGACCAUACCUAGGAAACCUUCCCCGCUGCUGCCGGUGUGACUUCCAUCAUUAUGGAAUCUGUCGGGAACUCCUUUGUGUUAGGUGCAACAUGAAGGGGCAUACCGCUCGCUUCUGUAAAACCAAGGUUGAGCUCAUUACAUCAACCACCAAUGUGGGGACCGGUCCAAUAUGCCACCUAUGUGGUGAGAUUGGGCACUUCAAGAGGGACUGCCCAACUGAAAGAAAUGACAAAGGCGUAGGAGGAGGUUGAUCUUAUUGCCUAGGGGAAAGCAUCAAAGAACCCGGUAGAAUUUUGGUAUGUCUUUCAAUCCUAAGUAACUAACCGAGAACUUUAAUAAAUCAAUUCUAAUUGAAAUUAGUCCCUCGUUAAGGCGAAAGUCGCAACACUGUUGUAACACUCGAAAACCCAUCAGGUAAAGCUAUGAUGGCGAAGCAUAUAAGUUAAGGUCAUUUAUAAUUUAAGAUUGACAGACCGCGAGGGAGUGAUGCUGCCUUAUCUCCUGUUCCUCGUUGGGUUGUGGAUUUAGGGCGGAGUCGCUCAGUCAACAGUCCUUGUAAUCUUAAUUAUGCAUGAAUACUGUAUACUAGGCGAUUAUGGAGAGGCCUCGUGAGAAAUCCAUUCUUGAAAAGUACAUUAUUCCGAAACGUUAGGACCCCUAGAGUUUCGCGUCAAUCCCAUCGAUCCAAGUGUCCAUGGUAGUGAUACCAUGGACGAGACCCGAGACGCUAAUAACUUGUGUGCCCUGUUCAGCACAUGGUCCUAUCAACCUUCAUGCCAUAUCAUUUCGAUGUUUGUUAAAUUAGACAUUGCCGUCAAUCAUGGCUCGACUUGGUGCGACCAUGUAAAAAUUCCUAGUGUUGUGUAAAGAGAACUUUCACCAUAGCCUAUUCAUCAAAUAAAGGUUCUUCCGAACCUAAUAAGAAAACCUAAUGCGAACCGCCAGUCGUCUCUCUUAUCCAAACCCUCCAAAGUACCCAAGAGAAGGGUACCAUGCGCUGUUAACCAACCCCUCCUUAGACAUGUAGAACCAGAAGCGAAAGGCACUGCAGGUAUUCCAGAAGGCGAUAACUACCCGAGGCCUACUCAAUGGAUCCCUCAUAAAGGCCAUUUGCAUCACGCAACCAGGUUCAUGAAUCAAGAGAAAGAACUCAUGGUAUUAACUUAGUACUACUGAGUAUAUGCAUUAGAGUGGUAUAUAAUUUAGAUCAAUAAGAUUUAAGAUGUGUGCUUCCUCCCUACUCCCUGUUCCUCGUUUGGUUGUGGGUCUGGGGUGGGGCCACACAUCUGAACAUCCCGUCAAAUCUCAAUUAUAUACGACUUGCAUACACCGAGUAUUAGUGAUUAAGCCGAGUAUGAGGUCGACCACGAACCUUAUAAUAAAACCCUUCAUCCUAUCCCAUAGAAAAGGAGCCGGAGUCAAGAGAAUUACUGCGGGUUGAGCUACUAAAAUGACCACAAAUGGGAAAUUUGUUGUCAUCUCGGUCAGGACAACAUAGUAGCUAACACCCUCAGUUAGGAAAAUAACCCAGGUCGUAAGAGUCAAAGCAUUGACUACGACCAUCCAUUCGCACUUAAUCCCACGUAUUAAGCAUCUCAGCAGAGAUCUCGGAAACCUAGGAGCUGUAAUAGGUUAAACCCUGAGGAGAGUAGAUGAGGAAAUUAGAAGUUCCGAGUGAUGGAACCCUAUACUCUCUAGAUUUGAUCUAGAUCAAGAAAACUCUGAAACACCGGAAGAGUAGUUGCAAGGGAUACUCGCACUACUUAGGCACUUCGUCCAUCCCGUUACCGACGAGUAGUGCCUAGGACACACCACGUCCUCAUGCGAGAAAAGUCACCAUCGCCCUAUUGACGAAAGACUGCAUUCCCCGAAGUAAUACUAGAAUGCUAAGAACCACGUGAUCACCUCCGCGACCAAGAAUACUUGAAUAAAGUAAAAUAGUAUGUGGCGAUAAACCUUAUAACCCAGAUCAUAAAGAGAUUGUAGACUCGACACCAGUCUAGGAGUUAGUCGAUGGGUUAUACAAGAACGCGCGCUUCCUACAAACUAGAAGAAGCCGACACCUUAGAGAAUAGGGCAUGUCUUAGAGAUUCAUUGGGCUACUCAGUGUUCCAAAGAAUACUAUCCCUAAAGAGAUAGUAGAACCACCUCCCGAAAUAGUCCAGCACUUUAGAAAAUCUCAAAGGGCUAAGUUAGCCCUGAUCAGAGACUACUAUCCAUGAAACAGCAAAGCGAGUAAGAGAAUGAUUCUUUCCAGUUAGGAAUCAUACUGUGAAAGCAUCUAAUUAGACGAAGAUGAGAAUUAAAACUUGCUAAACAUCGUCUGGUAAACCCCUAUCUCACCAACUUUGAGAGUUUCCGUUAGAAACACCUCAAGAGUUAGAAGUGCAGGUCCAUUUUUGCACUAGGUUGAGAUAGAUGCCACAUAACCAAUAGGUACCAUUAGUAGCCAUUACAUCCGAUGAUCCAGAAAACCUAUGAAAGCCAAUCAGUGGGAAAUACGAAUCUGAAGACGACCUGAGCCUUCUAAGAACCAACCCAGGAACUACACCCUCAGUGAGAGAGAAACUUUUGGAACUUCAAAAUGGCGAUCAUGCCAGUGAUGAUCUCACCAUAGAAGUACAUUAUGUUCUAAGUACUGAAAAGCUCUAUCUUCCCAAGAGCAUAGGACCAUCCGAGAUUCCUUAUAAGAAUGGGUCCAACCCCCGUCAGACCUCGACUACUUUGGGAAUUCCAUAAAUUCCACCCAAAUCUAUCCAUGUCUUAGAUUUGAGAAAGUACUGGUCCGAGGUAACUCUUGUAACCCCACACAUUGAGAUAGAAAUCAUUGACAGCCCCAACUUCGUAGGAGAACCCGUAGGGAUCAUGAACCGAGAGGUCAAGCUAACGAAAUGAAUCCGCAUCCCAAUCGUGAAGUUUCGCUGGAAUGCCAAGCGAAUACCAGAGUUCAAUUGGGAGCGCAAUGAACGAUCAAAUAGGAAGUACCCUCAUCUCUUUGCUCGACUGUUCAUACCUACUUCCUUGCCAAAACUCUAAUUUCGGGACGAAAUUCCCUCUCACGGGGGGAUGAUGUGACAACCCGAAAUUUUCUAUUACCUUGAAAGCUCAGCCAUAUAACCCAAAUAAAUGCCAGACUUAUUUUUGCUAUCAUUUAGCACAAUUUAGAGUCUGUUCGAGCGUUCUGAGCCCAGUACACUUCAGGAAUAAGUGUUGGGGUUUAUCUGCCAAAGCAAUAGUAUGUCAAAUGAGCCUGAACCACCUUGACCUAGAGUUCACGGCCAACACAUGGGAUUUUACGGCCGUAAACUCCAUAUGGGCCAUAAACUCCACCUUAAAUGGUGAAAGGUUGGCCAUUUGUUCAUUCCAUCCUCUUCCUUUGGCUGAAAUCCUCUCAACUAUCAUCCCGUUCUUCGUCCCCGAUCUUCAAAACUUGUAAGUUUCUUUUCCUAACUAGUUCAUAUCUUGAUUAAGCUAGUGAUCUUACAUGUUUUCAUCCAUGAAAUUCAUGUUUUCAUAGAUCUUCAAGUUUCACCAAGAACACCAAGAACACACACUAGUGUUCUUGGCCAAAAACGACCAUUCAAGCUCCUAGAUCGUAAGUCCUCUUAUCCUAACUCAUUGUACACUAGGUUUAACAUGUUUAGCGCUUAGAAAACAUCAAGAAACAAGGAUGAAUGCGAGUUUACGGCCAAGGCAUGUUUGUGGGCCGUAAACUCCCUUUAAGGGUGCAAAGUUGCCCUUUCUUCCUUCCUUAUGCCCAGAACUCAACCUAUAACCAACCACCAUUGAAGUAGAGACCUAAAAAAUCAAAGAUACCCUGUCCAUAUAGAGUUUACGGCCGUAAACCCAAAAUGAAAUGGUCCUUUGGCCGUAAACUCCAUAAAGGGGUCAUAUGGUGCCCCUAACACCCCCUAUGGAUUGUAUAAAUGACUAGAACCUUGCAUACUUAAUCUAGGAACACCAAAACAUGGAAAGAGUGGAAAAACAUGAGUUUACAGCCAUAAACUCAUGUGUUUACGACCGUGAACUCCCCCAAGGGUCCAUUUGGAACCCUAGUCACUUCCUAUGCCCUAGAUUCGAGUCGAACUUAAUUCCUUGAGUGUUAUAAGACUUUUGAACACCCAAUGGCACCACUUCCAUGAGUUUAUAGUCGUAAACUCAUAGGGGAAGUGGUCUGAAAACCGUAAAGACCCCUAAGGGCCACCAUUUGAGGAGUAAACUCCAAUAUUAGGCCAUACACUCUUUAUAUGCAACCCUUAGUACUCUUAGCACUUCUAGAAAAGUGUUUUCAUGUAUUAGGAUGUCUAUACUUGCAUAAUUAGUUGCUAAAUGACUAAUUUGAUACUUAAAUGUAUCAUUACAUGUUAAAUAGGAUUCUCGUGUGUGUUCAAGUCCUCACUUGACACCUAGCAUCCUAUACCGUCCGUUCGUCAGGGUCACCCACAUCUGGUGAGUUCAUACCCCCGAAUUAACCUUUUUAAAUGCUUUUCAAUGCUUUUAUUAGGGGGGGAAUACAAGUUGAACUAUAGAGUUAUUAUAUUAAUCACAUGUGAUUAAUAACUAUAUAGCAAAUAGAUUUUUGUAUGUUAAACUGCUUCAUCCAGCUAAAGGUUUUCAAAUCUAAGUUUCAAAUCUCUUUUAAAGUAUAAAGAUCCCUUUUUAGUUGAAUAAACUCUUAUUGAUAGAUUUUCCAAAGUUUUACCAAAACGUCUUUUGUGCUUUUAUAUUAUAAUGUGCAUGCCUAUAUAUGUAUAGUUAUAUAAACAAUGUUUGAAGGACUUAGGAAGGCUAACUCGCUUAAAUUCCUUUUCCUUGUUUGGAUAUGGUUUAGAGUAUCGGUUAUCCGUCUGAAGGUCGUUUAAAUAUUGGUUAUAUAUCAUGUAUACAUAUGUAGUCCUAAAAGUUCUCUCAGCAGAUUCAUCACCUUUGGGUAGCAAAGGCAUCUAGAUAACCUCUCAAAGUAAACUAUAAUAGGUAUAGUUUAGAAACCCACUAUAGCAUGCACGCAGGAGAACUUAGUUAUAUUUAUACUCUAAAACAUAUACUUUUAGUAAAAGGAAAGGUUUAUAGAAGUCAAAAUACGAGAUACAUCCUCACGACACGGAUUUCACCGUUGUCGAGCGGUAACCAGAGUCUCCUGGAGGGAGAGCGGACAUUGUGUGUAUAGAUCUAUACGAGACAGACACUCCCACAUCCUGACUGCUAGCUACAGUCCUGGCCGACCAAGCCAAGGGGUGACAAAUGUCAGAUUCAUUCCAACGCCAUCAGGUCGUCAAGUAUUCGAUUUUCAAUCAGUAUGGUUACGAGUAUCUUUAUGUUUACC
rnacentral:lncRNA from 1 species